AAUAAGUAAUGUGAAUUGCAGAAUUCAGUGAAUCAUCGAAUCUUUGAACGCAUCUUGCGCUUCUUGGUAUUCCAAGGAGCAUAUCUGUHUGAGUGUCAU
rnacentral:rRNA from 1 species